UAUCCUACUAGCUGUAGUAUGGCCGUCGAGCGUGCGCGUCCACGAGCAAAGCCGCUAGCCACUUUUACCAUGACAAAAGCGAUUUACGGGUUUCUAUGAGUAUGGGACUCCUCCAGCCGGAGCUCAACUAUAAUAUCACUCGAUUGUUUAAAACAUCAUUGAAUAAAUUAGCAUAUCGAAACCACUAGAAAGUAGUGACCAAGAAAACAGACAUUUUUGACACAAAUUAAAACGACCUGAUAAAUCAACAUCACCACGUCAUUCAGGGGAAAGUGUAAUUACAUAUCAGGUUUAGUAAUGGUCCAUUUUUAACUCUCAUUUGAACUUGCAUUGUCGCAGAAGCAAACAGUACAACAAGAGAACAUGAAUCGAAAGGCUUGUUCCCUAAAAUUAGGAGGAAAAUGUAAGUCUUCGUCGUCUUAAGAAGGGAAUCUGCAAAUUACUUUUAAGCAGAGAAUUUCCUAGACCGGAAAACUCAUUUUGUCUCCGUGUCAGCCCUUAUCAGCCAUGGUUUCUGAAGUAGCUCCGGUUGCCAUAGUGACGGUGCUUUCGUCUCUUGUCGUCACAAAUAUACUCGGAAACUCCAUUGUUUGCGUCAUCAUAACGAGGAAUCAAGACAUGAGGUAUGUGGAGAUUGAACUGUUGUGUUAUUUCACGCUGUUAUUUCUGCUUAGAAAGAUGGCUGGUACCAGUUUUCUCGCGCGGUGAGUAGAUCACCAUCGUGCGUCACACGUGAGUAACACGUACGAUAGAGGCGCGAGAUUUAAAACCCGGCUUUUUUCGUGCAAGGUCACUUGUACUGUUGGAGACGAAUUUCGCAUACAAAGGAGGCUUUACCUGCUAGAGGAACUUUAGUCAAUUCUGUGUGUUUAAGAAAAAUUGUUUCGGGAAUUCAAUGUUUCCCAAAUUUCAAAGAAAACUCGAUCGAUCGUGACAGCCACCGGGAGCAUAUAGAGGACUCGCAAAACAUAGCAAAUCUACCCAGAAUUUGUGAGAAAAUCCUACAGAGUAAGCACAGGAGGCUGUCUUUAACGACAACUACAACUGUAAAUGAAGUUUUAGCAGCAAACAAAACAAAACGCCUGUUCGGAGCCCGCUCGCUCGCGCGGGCACACGAAGCAGUCAGCGAUUGUCAAAACAGCUCAUGAGCAACUGCUGAUCUUAUAAAGUCUGGAUUUUUGAAUGCGUGUCCACGCGCGUGGGAAUAAUGGAACUCGCGAAGGCUUUUACGUGAAAACAAGCCCGGUGACCCCUUCUUUUUAUUGUUUUAAUAUAAUAUUAUUAUUGAGAGGAAACGUCAGAAAAAAAA